GAUGAACGCUGGCGGCGUGCCUAAUACAUGCGAGUAGAACGCUGAAGCUUGGUGCUUGCACCGAGCGGAUGAGUUGCGAACGGGUGAGUAACGCGUAGGUAACCUGCCUCUUAGCGGGGGAUAACUAUUGGAGACGAUAGCUAAUACCGCAUAAAAGUCGAUAUCGCAUGAUAUUGAUUUGAAAGGUGCAAAUGCAUCACUAAGAGAUGGACCUGCGUUGUAUUAGCUAGUUGGUGAGGUAACGGCUCACCAAGGCGACGAUACAUAGCCGACCUGAGAGGGUGAUCGGCCACACUGGGACUGAGACACGGCCCAGACUCCUACGGGAGGCAGCAGUAGGGAAUCUUCGGCAAUGGGGGCAACCCUGACCGAGCAACGCCGCGUGAGUGAAGAAGGUUUUCGGAUCGUAAAGCUCUGUUGUAAGAGAAGAACGAGUGUGAGAGUGGAAAGUUCACACUGUGACGGUAACUUACCAGAAAGGGACGGCUAACUACGUG
rnacentral:rRNA from 1 species